UCCGGCUUAACGCCGGCGGUCUCUGUAGAGUGCCCAACUGAAUGAUGGCAACUACAGACAAGGGUUGCGCUCGUUAAGGGACUUAACCCGACAUCUCACGAUACGAGCUGACGACAGCCAUGCAGCACCUAACUACCAGCCUCCGAAGAGGAAGUCCUAUCUCUAGGAUUGUCUGGCAUUUUCUAACCCAGGUAAGGUUUUUCGCGUUGCAUCGAAUUAAACCACAUGCUCCACCGCUUGUGCGGGCCCCCGUCAAUUCCUUUGAGUUUUAAUCUUGCGACCGUACUUCCCAGGCGGGGUACUUAAUGCGUUAGCUACGGCACUGCAGGGGUCAAUUCCCGCAACACCUAGUACCCAUCGUUUACAGCGUGGACUAC
rnacentral:misc_RNA from 1 species